AAACUAGGGGGUGCUUCCAUCUGGAAGAAUCUGGAGACAGGUGCUGCAUGGCUGUUGUCAGCUCGUGUCGUGAGAUGUUGGGUUAAGUCCCGCAACGAGCGCAACCCUUGCCUUUAGUUGCCAGCAGUUCGGCUGGGCACUCUAAAGGGACUGCCGGUGUUAACCGGAGGAAGGUGGGGAUGACGUCAAGUCCUCAUGGCCUUUAUGACCAGGGCUACACACGUACUACAAUGGCCGAUACAAAGGGCAGCGACACUGCGAGGUGAAGCCAAUCCCGUAAAAUCGGUCUCAGUCCGGAUUGGAGUCUGCAACUCGACUCCAUGAAGUUGGAAUCGCUAGUAAUCGUGGAUCAGCAUGCCACGGUGAAUACGUUCCCGGGCCUU
rnacentral:rRNA from 1 species